GACCCGACCCAAUAACCCAUGGCCCAAAAUCUAAAUUGGCCCAAUUGGGCACAAAAAUUAAACAACAUCAGGGAACCCUAGGGUUCCCUGCCUUCUCCAACGCCGCAUGCCAGGGCCAUGUGCGCCGUACGGCUAUCGUACCUGCUCCCUGGUCACCUCAGCCACCUGCCUUCUGCCCACCUGCAAAACGAAAAGAACACGCAAUGGCAGC
rnacentral:lncRNA from 1 species